GGCUAUAUCAGGGAUCUUAAUCAAUGCAAUAAGCUUGACAUUUUAUUCAUCCCGUUACCAUUACUGUAACCACGAUCAGUUGUCAAGUAAUUGUUACAUGACUAUGUCCAUUUUAUUGCAGGGGACCUCCAUAAAGGCUUCCUGGGAUUUGAAGCAACGGAUCUUUACUUGCCUGGGCACCUGCACAAUCAGUCCACAGGUCUAUACACACACGCUACGGUUUUGGAAGUCCAGCCCUGUAUUUGUUUUUGUAAAUAAAGUUUUAUUGAAAUGUAAUGAACCCA